rnacentral:rRNA from 1 species
GGGCNACCCUGGUGGCGAGUGGCGAACGGGUGAGUAAUAUAUCGGAACGUGCCCUGGAGUGGGGGAUAACUAGUCGAAAGAUUANCUAAUACCGCAUACGAUCUACGGAUGAAAGUGGGGGAUCGCAAGACCUCAUGCUCGUGGAGCGGCCGAUAUCUGAUUAGCUAGUUGGUGGGGUAAAGGCCUACCAAGGCAUCGAUCAGUAGCUGGUCUGAGAGGACGACCAGCCACACUGGGACUGAGACACGGCCCAGACUCCUACGGGAGGCAGCAGUGGGGAAUUUUGGACAAUGGGCGCAAGCCUGAUCCAGCAAUGCCGCGUGAGUGAAGAAGGCCUUCGGGUUGUAAAGCUCUUUUGUCAGGGAAGAAACGGUGGAGGUUAAUACCUUCUGCUAAUGACGGUACCUGAAGAAUAAGCACCGGCUAACUACGUGCCAGCAGCCGCGGUAAUACGUAGGGUGCAAGCGUUAAUCGGAAUUACUGGGCGUAAAGCGUGCGCAGGCGGUUGUGCAAGACAGAUGUGAAAUCCCCGGGCUCAACCUGGGAAUUGCAUUUGUGACUGUACGGCUAGAGUGUGUCAGAGGGGGGUAGAAUUCCACGUGUAGCAGUGAAAUGCGUAGAGAUGUGGAGGAAUACCGAUGGCGAAGGCAGCCCCCUGGGAUAACACUGACGCUCAUGCACGAAAGCGUGGGGAGCAAACAGGNNUAGAUACCCUGNUAGUCCACGCCCUAAACGAUGUCUACUAGUUGUCGGGUCUUUAUUGACUUGGNAACGCANCUAACGCGUGAAGUA